rnacentral:snRNA from 1 species
UCGAGAGCUCCAAGUGGGCCAU